GUGCAUCCCUCUAACGUGUAGGGCAAACACGGAUCUGAACUGGAAAUCGAACAGCUUUAACAUUUCACCAGGGUCAAGUUUUUAUAACGUAUGCAGACAUGUCCCUGUUGAAGGCUUGGCUGAAGCCUACUGCUAUUUCACGGACCUCGGUGGUGCGCUGUGGGAGGCAGAAAUAUGAGAGAGUUUAUCCUGUCCUGUUGGUCCGACCUGAUGGAUCAACUAUUAAUAUCAGAUACAAAGAACCAAGGAAAAUUCUAAUGAUGCCUGUGGAUCUUUCCACUC